UCAAGCGAACAAGUGCAUGUGGUGGAUGCCUUGGCGAUCACAGGCGAUGAAGGACGCGGUAGCCUGCGAAAAGCGGGGGGGAGCUGGCAAACGAGCUUUGAUCCCCCGAUAUCCGAAUGGGGAAACCCACUCCUUAUGGAGUAUCCGUAACUGAAUACAUAGGUUACGUGAAGCGAACGCGGUGAACUGAAACAUCUAAGUAACCGCAGGAAAAGAAAUCAACCGAGAUUCCCAGAGUAGUGGCGAGCGAAAUGGGACCAGCCUGUACUCUUUAUCUUCAUUGUUAGUCGAAGGCUCUGGAAAGUGCCGCCAUAGCAGGUGAUAGCCCUGUAGACGAAAACAGCGAGGAAGAACUGGGUGUACGACAAGUAGGGCGGGACACGUGAAAUCCUGUCUGAAGAUGGGGGGACCAUCCUCCAAGGCUAAAUACUCGUGAUCGACCGAUAGUGAACCAGUACCGUGAGGGAAAGGCGAAAAGAACCCCGGGAGGGGAGUGAAAUAGAUCCUGAAACCGCAUGCAUACAAACAGUCGGAGCCUCGUAAGGGGUGACGGCGUACCUUUUGUAUAAUGGGUCAGCGACUUACAUUCAGUGGCAAGCUUAACCGAUUAGGGCAGGCGUAGCGAAAGCGAGUCCGAACAGGGCGUUCAGUCGCUGGGUGUAGACCCGAAACCAGGUGAUCUAUCCAUGGCCAGGAUGAAGGUGCGGUAACACGUACUGGAGGUCCGAACCCACUAACGUUGAAAAGUUAGGGGAUGAGCUGUGGAUAGGGGUGAAAGGCUAAACAAACCUGGAAAUAGCUGGUUCUCUCCGAAAACUAUUUAGGUAGUGCCUCGUGUAUCACCUUCGGGGGUAGAGCACUGUCAUGGUUGUGGGGUCCAUUGCGGAUUACUACGCCAUAGCAAACUCCGAAUACCGAAGAGUGCAAUCACGGGAGACAGACAUCGGGUGCUAACGUCCGGUGUCAAGAGGGAAACAACCCAGACCGCCAGCUAAGGUCCCCAAAUAUUGCUAAGUGGGAAACGAAGUGGGAAGGCUAAAACAGUCAGGAGGUUGGCUUAGAAGCAGCCAUCCUUUAAAGAAAGCGUAAUAGCUCACUGAUCGAGUCGUCCUGCGCGGAAGAUGUAACGGGGCUAAGCAAUAUACCGAAGCUGCGGAUGCAUAUUUAUAUGCAUGGUAGGAGAGCGUUCCGUAAGCCUGCGAAGGUGCAUUGAAAAGUGCGCUGGAGGUAUCGGAAGUGCGAAUGCUGACAUGAGUAGCGAUAAAGGGGGUGAAAGGCCCCCUCGCCGUAAGCCCAAGGUUUCCUACGCAACGUUCAUCGGCGUAGGGUGAGUCGGCCCCUAAGGCGAGGCAGAAAUGCGUAGCUGAUGGGAAGCAGGUUAAUAUUCCUGCACCAUUGUUAAAUGCGAUGGGGGGACGGAUCGCGGAAGGUUGUCCGGGUGUUGGAAGUCCCGGUCCUUGCAUUGGAGAAGGCGCUUAGGCAAAUCCGGGCGCGGAAUUCAAGGGUGCGAGGCCAUUCACUUCGGUGAAGAAGCAACUGGAAGUGGUUCCAAGAAAAGCCUCUAAGCUUCAGUUUAACAAGACCGUACCGCAAACCGACACAGGUGGGCGAGAUGAGUAUUCUAAGGCGCUUGAGAGAACUCGGGAGAAGGAACUCGGCAAAUUGGUACCGUAACUUCGGGAUAAGGUACGCCCCUGUAGCUUGACUGGCCUGCGCCAGGAGGGUGAAGGGGUUGCAAUAAACUGGUGGCUGCGACUGUUUAAUAAAAACACAGCACUCUGCAAACACGAAAGUGGACGUAUAGGGUGUGACGCCUGCCCGGUGCCGGAAGAUUAAAUGAUGGGGUGCAAGCUCUUGAUUGAAGUCCCGGUAAACGGCGGCCGUAACUAUAACGGUCCUAAGGUAGCGAAAUUCCUUGUCGGGUAAGUUCCGACCUGCACGAAUGGCGUAACGAUGGCCACACUGUCUCCUCCCGAGACUCAGCGAAGUUGAAGUGUUUGUGAUGAUGCAAUCUCCCCGCGGCUAGACGGAAAGACCCCAUGAACCUUUACUGUAGCUUUGCAUUGGACUUUGAACCGAUCUGUGUAGGAUAGGUGGGAGGCUAUGAAGCGUGGACGCCAGUCUGCGUGGAGCCGUCCUUGAAAUACCACCCUGGUUUGUUUGAGGUUCUAACCUUGGUCCGUUAUCCGGACUGGGGACAGUGCAUGGUAGGCAGUUUGACUGGGGCGGUCUCCUCCCAAAGUGUAACGGAGGAGUACGAAGGUACGCUAGGUACGGUCGGAAAUCGUGCUGAUAGUGCAAUGGCAUAAGCGUGCUUAACUGCGAGACCGACAAGUCGAGCAGGUGCGAAAGCAGGUCAUAGUGAUCCGGUGGUUCUGUAUGGAAGGGCCAUCGCUCAACGGAUAAAAGGUACUCUGGGGAUAACAGGCUGAUACCGCCCAAGAGUUCAUAUCGACGGCGGUGUUUGGCACCUCGAUGUCGGCUCAUCUCAUCCUGGGGCUGUAGCCGGUCCCAAGGGUAUGGCUGUUCGCCAUUUAAAGAGGUACGUGAGCUGGGUUUAAAACGUCGUGAGACAGUUUGGUCCCUAUCUGCCGUGGGCGCUGGAUAUUUGAAGGGGGCUGCUCCUAGUACGAGAGGACCGGAGUGGACGAACCUCUGGUGUACCGGUUGUCACGCCAGUGGCAUCGCCGGGUAGCUAUGUUCGGAAGAGAUAACCGCUGAAAGCAUCUAAGCGGGAAACUCGCCUUAAGAUGAGAUAUCCCCGGGGCUUCGAGCCCCUUGAAGGGUCGUUCAAGACCAGGACGUUGAUAGGUCAGGUGUGGAAGCGCAGUAAUGCGUUAAGCUAACUGAUACUAAUUGCCCGUAAGGCUUGAUCC
rnacentral:rRNA from 1 species